UACGGGGGGGGCAAGCGUUGUUCGGAAUUACUGGGCGUAAAGGGCGCGUAGGCGGCCUUCUAAGUCGAACGUGAAAUCCCUGGGCUCAACCCAGGAACUGCGUCCGAUACUGGAAGGCUUGAAUCCGGGAGAGGGAUGCGGAAUUCCAGGUGUAGCGGUGAAAUGCGUAGAUAUCUGGAGGAACACCGGUGGCGAAGGCGGAUCUCUGGGCCUUACCUGACGCUGAGGUGCGAAAGCUAGGGGAGCGAACAGG
rnacentral:rRNA from 1 species